AUCCAGCCUAAUGAUCCAGUUUCACAAAGAUUUCAAAUUUUAGUCUGCAGCUUCAUCCCCUCUUAUAUAUAACCAAGAACAGAGGAGGAUGUGUGAUCGAUCCCCUCAUGCAUGUGUGAUCGAUCCAAAUUGUAAAUUGUUUCCUACAUUUGGACGGAUUUAAUAACAGUGAACAACAGAGAGAGAGAGAGUAUUAGUUAGUUUACCAGAUGAACAGGGCUAAGUUUUGAAGUCAACGAAGCUUGGACUUGCUCCUUUGUUACACCCAUCUCUCUCUUGCUCUCUGUUUAAAUUUUGUGCAGGGGUGAUUUGCAAAAGCUUUGUGUGCCCUAAUGAUUCUAAAUGGGUGAACCGAGUAAAUAUGGGGCCCGACACGAAUAUAUUCUCUUCUUCUUAACUUUGACAUAUUCGAUACUAUCCAUAAACACACACACACA